rnacentral:rRNA from 1 species
UGAGGAAUAUUGGUCAAUGGACGCAAGUCUGAACCAGCCAAGUAGCGUGCAGGAUGACGGCCCUAUGGGUUGUAAACUGCUUUUAUAUGGGGAUAAAGUGGGGAACGUGUUCCCUUUUGCAGGUACCAUAUGAAUAAGGACCGGCUAAUUCCGUGCCAGCAGCCGCGGUAAUACGGAAGGUUCGGGCGUUAUCCUGAUUUAUUGGGUUUAAAGGGAGCGUAGGCCGUUUGGUAAGCGUGUUGUGAAAUGUAGGAGCUCAACUUCUAGAUUGCAGCGCGAACUGUCAGACUUGAGUGCGCACAACGUAGGCGGAAUUCAUGGUGUAGCGGUGAAAUGCAUAGAUAUCAUGAAGAACUCCGAUUGCGAAGGCAGCUUACGGGAGCGCAACUGACGCUGAAGCUCGAAGGAGCGGGUAUCGAACAGG